AUUGAACGCUGGCGGCAUGCCUUACACAUGCAAGUCGAACGGUAACGCGGGGCAACCUGGCGACGAGUGGCGAACGGGUGAGUAAUGCAUCGGAACGUGCCCAGUAGUGGGGGAUAGCCCGGCGAAAGCCGGAUUAAUACCGCAUACGACCUAAGGGUGAAAGCGGGGGAUCGCAAGACCUUGCGCUAUUGGAGCGGCCGAUGUCAGAUUAGGUAGUUGGUGGGGUAAAGGCCUACCAAGCCUAAGAUCUGUAGCUGGUCUGAGAGGGCGACCAGCCACACUGGGACUGAGACACGGCCCAGAAUCCUACGGGAGGCAGCAGUGGGGAAUUUUGGACAAUGGGCGCAAGCCUGAUCCAGCCAUGCCGCGUGCGGGAAGAAGGCCUUCGGGUUGUAAACCGCUUUUGUCAGGGAAGAAACGCUCCGGGCUAAUACCCUGGGGUAAUGACGGUACCUGAAGAAUAAGCACCGGCUAACUACGUGCCAGCCGCCGCAGUAAAAC
rnacentral:rRNA from 1 species